CCUAAGCUGAUUGGCGCUGCAAGCCUGGGAGGUGGGAGAAGUGAAGCAGCGACAGUGUGCUCGGGUUGCUCGUACUCGUGCACGGAGCAGAGGUGAUCUGGGGUGGAGGGGGUGCCUCAGG